rnacentral:tRNA from 2 species
AGCCCUGAGGUGCAUGUAGCAUGUCGGAUUGCAAAUCCGAAGGCGCAGACUAGUCGUCUGCUGGGGCUU